rnacentral:rRNA from 1 species
UGAACGCUGGCGGCAUGCCUUACACAUGCAAGUCGAACGGCAGCACGGGUGCUUGCACCUGGUGGCGAGUGGCGAACGGGUGAGUAAUACAUCGGAACAUGUCCUGUAGUGGGGGAUAGCCCGGCGAAAGCCGGAUUAAUACCGCAUACGAUCUACGGAUGAAAGCGGGGGACCUUCGGGCCUCGCGCUAUAGGGUUGGCCGAUGGCUGAUUAGCUAGUUGGUGGGGUAAAGGCCUACCAAGGCGACGAUCAGUAGCUGGUCUGAGAGGACGACCAGCCACACUGGGACUGAGACACGGCCCAGACUCCUACGGGAGGCAGCAGUGGGGAAUUUUGGACAAUGGGCGAAAGCCUGAUCCAGCAAUGCCGCGUGUGUGAAGAAGGCCUUCGGGUUGUAAAGCACUUUUGUCCGGAAAGAAAUCCUUGGCCCUAAUACGGUCGGGGGAUGACGGUACCGGAAGAAUAAGCACCGGCUAACUACGUG